GACGGACGCUGGCGGCGUGCUUAACACAUGCAAGUCGAACGGAAAGGCCCUGCUUUUGUGGAGUGCUCGAGUGGCGAACGGGUGAGUAACACGUGAGUAACCUGCCCUUGACUUUGGGAUAACUUCAGGAAACUGGGGCUAAUACCGGAUAGGAGCUCCUGCUGCAUGGUGGGGGUUGGAAAGUUUCGGCGGUUGGGGAUGGACUCGCGGCUUAUCAGCUUGUUGGUGGGGUAGUGGCUUACCAAGGCUUUGACGGGUAGCCGGCCUGAGAGGGUGACCGGCCACAUUGGGACUGAGAUACGGCCCAGACUCCUACGGGAGGCAGCAGUGGGGAAUAUUGCACAAUGGGCGGAAGCCUGAUGCAGCAACGCCGCGUGCGGGAUGACGGCCUUCGGGUUGUAAACCGCUUUCGCCUGUGACGAAGCGUGAGUGACGGUAAUGGGUAAAGAAGCACCGGCUAACUACGUG
rnacentral:rRNA from 1 species